rnacentral:rRNA from 1 species
CCUACGGGUGGCAGCAGUGAGGAAUAUUGGUCAAUGGCCGGAAGGCUGAACCAGCCAUGCCGCGUGAAGGGCAGGGCCCGAGGGGCGUGAAACUUCGUUUGUGCGGGAGCAAGAAUGGUCACGUGGGGCCAGACGAGAGUACCGUACGAAUAAGCAGCGGCUAACUCCGGGCCAGCAGCCGCGGUAAUACGGGGGAUGCAAGCGUUAUCCGGAUUUCUUGGGGUUAAAGGGGGCGUAGGCGGUGAGGUAAGUCAGCGGGGAAAUGCCCCCGCUCAACGGGGUGAAGUGCCAUUGAUACUGCCUUGCUGGACUGCGGAUGCCGUGGGCGGACUGUGUGGUGUAGCGGUUCACUGCAUAGAUAUCACAC